rnacentral:rRNA from 1 species
AUUGAACGCUGGCGGAAUGCUUUACACAUGCAAGUCGAACGGCAGCACGGGUGCUUGCACCUGGUGGCGAGUGGCGAACGGGUGAGUAAUACAUCGGAACGUACCCAGUCGUCGGGGAUAACGUAGCGAAAGUUACGCUAAUACCGCAUACGUCUUGAGGGAGAAAGCGGGGGACCGUAAGGCCUCCGCCGGUGGGAGCGGCCUGAGGCGGAUUAGCUAGUUGGUGGGGUAAAGGCCUACCAAGGCGACGAUCCGUAGCGGGUCUGAGAGGACGGCCCGCCACACUGGAACUGAGACACGGUCCAGACUCCUACGGGAGGCAGCAGUGGGGAAUUUUGGACAAUGGGCGAAAGCCUGAUCCAGCCAUUCCGCGUGAGUGAAGAAGGCCUUCGGGUUGUAAAGCUCUUUCGGCAGGGAAGAAACGGCUUGGGAUAAUACCCCGGGCUAAUGACGGUACCUGAAGAAGAAGCACCGGCUAACUACGUGCCAGCCGCCGCCGUAA